UUUGUGAGGGAUCGUUCUACUUCUAACAUCACAGCAUGCAGAAAGUAAAACAUAAACAGAAUAGCAUUCACACAGUUGUGACACAGUAUGGCACGUUUUCAUAUGGUGAUCUCCAUCUCCAUAGAACCUGUUCACCAUGGUGAUCUCCAUCUCCAUGUUCCAUGUGCGCCAUCCUCCUGGUGAUGAGUCCUCCAAGAACUAGAACAUGCUAUUACGCCUAAUAG
rnacentral:lncRNA from 1 species